AAUGUGCCCUCUGACAACGGUAGCCGGACCGGCGGAGCAACGCGGAACGGCUUGAAAAGGGAAUCCCGUGUAAAACGGGAGCGGACCCGCCGCCGUGAGAUCCGCAAACCGCGCCCCAUUUUGUGCCACUGGAAACGGGAAGGCCGGGGCAAGGGGAUCAAGCCGGAAGACCUGCCGUGCCCAUUUUCGCGCU
rnacentral:ncRNA from 2 species